CUUUUACAAUGCUUCUGUAGAAAGCAGUAGAAUGUGGUAUGAAAAGUAAUAACUCAAAUGUUACCAGUAAAGCUUAAAGGACAACUGUUACCUCAACACUAUUUAAUAUUAUCUUUCAUCACGUUUUGAAAGGAAAUAGAUUUUUUUUAAUAUUAAGUAUAUGUAAAUAAGUGAGACAAACUCACCCCUAUCUUUAGUAUAUGACUGGAGGUUUCAGCCAUAUUCAU